UACGUAGGGUGCAGGCGUUAAUCGGAAUUACUGGGCGUAAAGCGUGCGCAGGCGGUUCGCUAAGACAGAUGUGAAAUCCCCGGGCUUAACCUGGGAACUGCAUCUGUGACUGGCGGGCUAGAGUAUGGCAGAGGGGGGUAGAAUUCCACGUGUAGCAGUGAAAUGCGUAGAGAUGUGGAGGAAUACCGAUGGCGAAGGCAGCCCCCUGGGCCAAUACUGACGCUCAUGCACGAAAGCGUGGGGAGCAAACAGG
rnacentral:rRNA from 1 species